rnacentral:rRNA from 1 species
AGUGAACGCUGGCGGUAGGCCUAACACAUGCAAGUCGAACGGCAGCACAGUAAGAGCCUGCUCUUACGGGUGGCGAGUGGCGGACGGGUGAGGAAUACAUCGGAAUCUACUUUUUCGUGGGGGAUAACGUAGGGAAACUUAUGCUAAUACCGCAUACGACCUACGGGUGAAAGCAGGGGAUCUUCGGACCUUGCGCGAUUGAAUGAGCCGAUGUCGGAUUAGCUAGUUGGCGGGGUAAAGGCCCACCAAGGCGACGAUCCGUAGCUGGUCUGAGAGGAUGAUCAGCCACACUGGAACUGAGACACGGUCCAGACUCCUACGGGAGGCAGCAGUGGGGAAUAUUGGACAAUGGGCGCAAGCCUGAUUCAGCCAUACCGCGUGGGUGAAGAAGGCCUUCGGGUUGUAAAGCCCUUUUGUUGGGAAAGAAAAGCAGCAGGUUAAUACCCCGCUGUUCUGACGGUACCCAAAGAAUAAGCACCGGCUAACUUCGUG